AGGAUCAUUAUUGAAUUUAAUGAGGGGAUAUUUGGUUGUAGCUGGCUCAUGAAUUUGGGCAUGUGCACACCUAUCUCUUUCAUCCACACACACCUGUGCACUUGUGAGGCAGAUGGGGAAUUUAUUGAUUGUUUUUUAAGAACAAUUGGUGCUGGACCCUCUGUCUACUCAAUACAUAAACUCAAUUUAUUUAGAAAUGAAUGUAAUGGAUGUAACGCAUCUAAUACUAAGUUUCAACAACGGAUCUCUUGGCUCUCGCAUCGAUGAAGAACGCAGCGAAAUGCGAUAAGUAAUGUGAAUUGCAGAAUUCAGUGAAUCAUCGAAUCUUUGAACGCACCUUGCGCUCCUUGGUAUUCCUUGGAGCAUGCCUGUUUGAGUAUCAUGAAAUCUUCAAAGUAAAUCUUUUGUUAACUCAAUUGGUUCUACUUUGGUAUUGGAGGUCUUUGCAGCUUCACACCUGCUCCUCUUUGUUCAUUAGCUGGAUCUCAGUGUUAUGCUUGGUUCCACUCAGCGUGAUAAGUUAUCUAUCGCUGAGGACACUGUAACAGGUGGCCAAGGGAAAUGCAGAUGAACCGCUUCUAGUAGUCCAU
rnacentral:sRNA from 1 species